UAUACUAUAGAUAGUGUUAAGAAAUAGUUAAAAUUUUGACAAUUAAUUUUUUAAGAGAAGGAUAAGUAUAUAUUACUAUUUGAAAUAAUUACCCAAAUAACUGUGUAUGUGAAUGGUGGAUGGAUCAAUAGAGAAAAAUGUCUCAAUCUUUUUAUCACCUUCUGCUUGGUACUUUUCAGAAGAGAUGGAGCUGAUUUCAGCUUCUGCUGUGAUCAAGAUUGUCAUGUUGCCUCUGUGUCAAGAAAGAGACUAAAGUGAGUAAUGAAUAGUCCAAGAUGUUAUCUUGGUUCAGGUCACUCGAUUAAGAGUAUGCACAGUGUCAUUAAAAUUAUUAAAUUAAUUAAAAACUUAAUUAUUGUCCCAGCCAUCAACGUGAUAUGGAACAUGUUGGUUAAUCCAUAAUGUAACAUUGAGGUUGAAUAAUAGAAGAGAUGUAAUCUAUAUGGGAAGUGAUUGUUUCGGCUGAUGGUGGGGACGUUCAAGGACCUUGCUCUUUGGUUCUUUUUGUGUGUGAAUAAUGUACUUAUUUUGUUAUCAUUGAGUAAUUAAAGGUUUAGUGAUACCAAUAUAGACUUGAAGGAUCAAGAAAAGAGAAACCCCAACAUGGACCAGUUUAGGUGAGUCAUGGAUGAUGAAAAGAAGUGUCUGAAACUCUGAGAUACAGCACAAUACAUACUUAGUCAUUCCUCUUUGGAAAUGAUGCUAUAGACAGAUGUCAGAAAUAAACAAAGGUCAUGUUCUUAUUUUGAAUUUGUAGAUUUAGAUUUAUUAUUAUUAAUGAAUCCUUGAUAAACUCAUCAAAUAAAAAUAAUACUUAGAUAAAGGAGAAAGUGAGGCAUUGUCCAAUUAUGAUCAUGUUGUGAUAUAAGACAUACUACAUAAAAUUAAAAAAAAACAUCGAUGCCCAUUUAGAUAUAAAUUGAUCAAAGGUUUUACUUCUUUGGCCAAGGAUUAUGUAGAUGAGGAUAAUUAUGCCAAUUUUAUUCUUCUGGAUCAGUUUCAAGUUUGAGGUUGGUCCCUUUGUUAAUAGGUAAAAAUACAUAAUGAAGAAUUAACAAAUACCUACCCAACUUAGUAAAUGAAAGGUGGGAAGGAAGUUCCCAUGUAGAUGAAUUCUUUUUUUUAUUGACUGCGCUGCUCUGUGCUCCUCAGAAUGGACCCACUCGAGAUGACGUCAGUGUCUUCCCUGGCCUCCCGCCCGCUGUUCGCCUCUGUAUUGCAGGAGCAUGCACCCCAUUGAAGGACACAUUUGGGCUGAUUGCAGCAUCUUCCAUGGUCAGAGCUCUGUGGUUGCAUCGGUGUGUGAGGAGCAUGGAGUCACGUGAGUAAUGAAUGGAUGCACUGCAUCUGAUGUCAACAUCUUCCCUGGGAAAGCGCUCUGGGACUGCGUCUGUAUUAGGAGCAUGGAGGCCACUGUGAGUAAUAGCCAAUGUUCUUUUUGCUUUAACUGUGUUUUAUUUUUUAAGAUUUUCCCUGUAUUAUUAAAAAGUGUUACUAUCUAUAUACUAAAAGGAUAAGUGACCUUUACAGCGGAAGGACCAGAAGGACGGGUCGCUGUGAUGCGCACUGACCACCAUGGGGCAGACACUCCGCCCAGAAGCCCCCUGGUGGUCAGUAGGCUCGCACAGAAGAGUGCAGCGCAGCCGAAAGCCGGGCUCAAGGCUGGCUUGUGCAGUGGCCUGGCAGGAGCCUCUCCCACCUCCACGGCUGCAUGAAGGAGCAGCGAGACGAGUGGUAAGGAGUAGUGAGCAGGGGGGUGGUAAGGCAUGAGGUGGUCCCGGACUGUGAGAGGGAUGUCUACCAGCUCCCCACAAGAGGUCCAUGACAUCCCCCAAGGGGUUCCGGAAUGCAAGAGGAUGCAGGCCGGGCUGAGGUACCCCCUUCUCCCCGCCCCCGUGCACACAUUUCAGGCACUGUGCCUCUAUUAAUCAAAGAAGAUUAGAGAUGUCACUGUUAAAUAUCAUAUUACCAUGAAACAUUGUGUUGAUUAAUCCAUAUAUGAAACACUGAGCUCAGUUAAUGAUAAGAGUCUGGUCUUAGUGGAAGUGAUUGUAAAA